CCUACGGGAGGCAGCAGUGAGGAAUUUUGGACAAUGGGGGCAACCCUGAUCCAGCGACGCCGCGUGAAGGACGAAGGUCUUCGGAUUGUAAACUUCUUUUCUCCGCGACUAAGAAAUCUAUAGAAAUAUAGAGAGUGAAUGUACCGGAGGAAUAAGCCACGGCUAACUUCGUGCCAGCAGCCGCGGUAAUACGAAGGUGGCAAGCGUUACUCGGAAUUACUAGGCGUAAAGCGCGGGUAGGUGGUUUGGUAAGUCUGCUGUGGAAGCUCCUGGCUUAACUGGGAGAGGUCAGCAGAAACUGCCAGACUGGAGUGUGGGAGAGGUUAUCGGAAUUCCCGGUGUAGCGGUGAAAUGCGCAGAGAUCGGGAGGAACACCAAAGGCGAAAGCAGAUAACUGGACCAUUACUGACACUGAGCCGCGAAAGCUAGGGGAGCAAACA
rnacentral:rRNA from 1 species